UCCUUGUGCCUUACUUUCCAAGCAAAAAUUCGUCGAUAAUAAUCUAGUUUAUUUAGUUGGCUUCGUUGAAAAGGUCUUCAAUAUAUAACGCCAAGAGCCACUUCUCAUUGCCUCUUUCGUUAGACUAGGGAGGCGGCUUUGCUACACCACGCAUAGGUAUUUGUGUAGGUUGCUAGCUCGCGCAUGACAAGACAGGAUGGUAUGCGUGUAUGAUAAGCAGUUAUGUACGCAUUUUAGCCACUGUACUCCGGAAGAUAGUUCUUAUGGGUCCGCUAUAGCGCCGCAUCUCUGUGGCGAUAAAUUGGAUUUUCGCGCGUACGUCGGAUGUAGCUUAAAACACUCCGUUCCGUAUUCCCUCAACCCCCCACCAACACUGAAAUACAGCCCGGGAUUUGAACCCAUACCCUUGGCAGUGCAACACCAAAGACUAUGCCACCAUGGUAGGCAAUUUCGGGGGACCACGCAGAUCUCUGUAGAAGGGCCCUCCCCGAUAGUGCUCUCAAGGCGCAAACCAAGUAAAACUACUGGCUCGCAUAAUUUUGCAAGCCUUAAAAUAAGCACCAUGAACGAAUAUCCGUACUUGUGGGAAACGCUCAGGAAGCUUGCACAGCACUUGCUGACCUAAAACAGCAAGAAACUUCACGUUGCUCGCGCUGGUCCGCGGUAGCAGACGAUAGGUGGCCGCGGUAGCCGACGAUAGCGGAGCCGGCACGCUUUCUUCCGGGCUUCUCGUCGGGCUAGGGCGCGCGCGUAACGUUUUACGAAGGCGUUUUUUUUUUAACUUUAACGCUACACUAUGUCCAGAGGAAUCUUUUAAGUUCGUCAGCCAGCAAAGGGACUCACAAGAACGAACGACCGUAGGAAUGUGCGCUAAACACUCUUUUUAUGUGGUGGAACAAUUCCGCACGUGAGAAGGUUGUAUAAGCUCGUACAGCGCCGUCUUGCCACUGCACCACCUACGCUUACGUUGCUGGCGUCGGUGUGAAUCACUGUGCGUGUGAGGACCCCACCAACGUGUGCGAUGACUUUGGAGUCGCUGCCACAGCAGCGCCUAUUGCUGUUCUUCACCCACUACCAAUGUGAGCGUUCUUUAGUUGGGCUUUUCAGUGGCGACGCAAUGGCUGAAAACUUUCCAAUAAAUCGCCGAUAGUAGGCGCGCAGUCCUAAAAAUCGUCUGACUCCCCUUUUGUCAGAUGACUUGCGAAAAUUUGCGACGGCGUUUACUUUGCAGGGUCUGACCAUACGCUUUCUUUGCUAUAUACGUGGCCCCAAAAAGUUAUUGGAAGCCAAAGUGGCAUUUGCUUGGCUUAAGUGUGAUAUCGGUGGAUCUGUAUGGCUUCAAAACCACAAGUACGAUCUCAGGUGUUCCUCAACUGUCGAAGAAAAUACAAUUACAUCACCUAGGUAUACUAAGCACGUUUCCCAUUUGAUGCCUGAAACUACGGUGUCCAUCAGUCGCUGAAAUGUUGCUGGUGCAGAGCACUUACCGAAAGGAAAUAUUUUCUAUCAUAAAGGCCAUUGGGUGUCACGAAUGCUGCUUUCUAUCGGUCUCGCUCGUUGACUUGUAUUUGCCACCGUCGGCUUCCGAAAUCCAUUGAAGAGAAGUAACGUGCACGCCACAGUCUAUUUAAGGAAUCGUCUAUUCGAGCUAGUCGGUAGGGAGAGUGAGUGAUGGGAGAGAGGUUAACCGGAUUCUCCUUUGCUACCCUGCACUGGGAGAAGGGCAAAUGAAAGACAGAAAAAACAGUGGAGAGAAAAAGCAUAGGAAAAAAAAUGCAGGGAAGGUCGUGAACGUCCAUCAGGGUUACAGUCUCUCCGAUAGGCCACUCGAACGUAAAAAUUUGAAGAGUUCCUUCACUGUAUGGGUCGGCGGUCCAGGACUGUCAGCUCCGGCCGUCAAGACGUGCCAGUGCCAUCGCGAGUGUCGCCGAACUGGUCACGCGGAGCCCUAUCCUCCCAUCUCAUGAGGAAAGCAAGCUGGCGAGUAAACUUAUUUAUUAGUGACCUGCUUUAAUUGGUGGUAGUCAACCCAGAAACUUAGGCUGCCAUCGUUUUUAUGUUUAAUGGCACCAGAAACGACCAGGGAGCCUUCGAUGGCUGAAUAACGUCAUGCAUUCUUUUGCCUGACCGUGUAUCGGGCUUCCCUCGGAGCGGCUAUGGCUGAGCUCUCGUUCAGGCGUCGGCACUCUUGGCGUCCAGAAGAGGCAAUCCUUAUUAGUGAGACUGAGGAGGCAUCAGAAAUGGUGGAACCACGUCGUAAAGCAUUGCUGAAUGUGGGACCAUUGCUCUAGCAAGAUGCCGGCGCUCACGGAUAAAAUAUGUUAGGGGAACUUGUGGUCGCCCGCGAUUUAUGUGAACGAUAUACAUCUUGCAAUGGCUCAAUAGCAGUGGUGGAAUGUGUUCUGCGAUGCCAUCGGAGUUCUUUGGUAUGUCACACACCACAUACACAAGAUUUUGAACACAAUUGCGGUAGUAUGGUCACGUUGUCAUCGUCGACAAAUGUUUACAUUGUUGCUCUGUACUAGAGGCGAUCGAACCUUCUCCCAUCGAACAAGUUGCCACCAACCUGUCCGGAAUGUUUAUAACGGCACCGUAGUGGCACAGAAAAUCUACUCGUGACGAAAGCACCUGCAGAAGCUGGGUCACCAAUAACCCAAUCAAACCAAGUUUUAUUUCUCCAUAAGAAAUAUGGGAGUGGCGAAAAUAAAAGCUGCAAAUUGCUGCAAACUAUGCGCCAGCCCCCCUGGACUGGUCAGCCACAGUACACUUAAGUCAGCCACAGCACAUUUGUAAAUGGGCAGGAAGUAACAAAACAUAUAUUCUGCACAUACCGAAUAAAAAUAUAAAAGAAUAUCCAAUUGAAAUGCAUCACCGCGAAAAAGCUUGCACAGCACUGCAAACCAAGAACAUGCCGCAAAUAUAUAAAUAAUACGCGCAAUAAAGACAAUAAACAGGAAAAGAAAGGAAUCCCUAGGAUAGCAUACACCUAAGAAUACACCAUUCAUAGCAUAUAUUGGGAAACAUUCGUUAAAUCAGUUAAAUAAAAAAAGAACACUUGAAUAAUGUCCAGUGUAGCACGUAAAAGCAACCGCAGACUGGGAAAGAGGAAAAAGAAGAAAAGCCAAGAUCUUUGCCUGUAGGCGUCAUCAGCUGAGCGUCAGCAACUCCGGGAGCCGGUCCACAGAGUUUGGAAUUCCUUAAGGCAGUCGGCGAGUUCUCCUUUCAAUAUAGACAAGUGAGCGCCGACAUCUACCAGCCCUGCCACGUGCGGUCGUCUAUGUAAGGUUGACGAUUUCUUGUGUGGUCAUCGAUGUCGUAUCGCCCGGUCGCAGUGAUGGCGUUGGGGCUGUAGUAGCAUCUCGAUGGACGGAGUCAAGAAGACCCUCCUCAGGUGGCGUAACUGCGAAGGUGCGGCGAAAAGCUCGGCGCAGGUAGCAGGGGAUCGACGAUUUGGAACAAGACGUGCGUUGCACCACGUACGUGGACGUCUUCUUGCUUUAGAUCUUCGUCCAUUAGUUCUUCCGUCAGUGCAACACUAAGCGCAAUACAAUCAUGAACGAUUUGGUGUAGCGAAUGCCUGACAUAGAAACGUCGCGUCGGUGUUUGAAAUGAGCGCCGAUAAAGGCAGGUGGAAUUCUUGGUUCACGAUACCGACGGUAAACGCUUCUUCUGCACACAGUGCGGUCAAGUGCAUUUUACCAACCAGUGAUCGGCUGGUACAACCUCGGGUGGGUAUUACUACGGGGUUUGCAACGUAUUGGGUGGGGUCACGACGGGUAGUAUGGUGAGAUCCACUAUGGGGAGUUGUACGUCGCUGGCAUCAGACUAUGUACACCUGACGCGUAGUCUACAAAAUCAGGUAGGACAAAAAGAAAUGUUUUCCUGCUUUCAUACCGCGCAACUGCCAUCACAUGUUCUUGCAGACCCACAAGAAAAUUGCGAAUCUCCUAACGAAGCAACUCAAGGAUGAGCUCACCCAGAUAUCCCUCACUGCUUGCGGUCACAGAAAAAACAAUGAUCGAGGCAUUGUAUUCACAGUCGUACUGGUGGCACCUUUGCUGCUGCGCGUGCUCAGUCACAUAACAUCUUGGAUAAAAUUUACGACAGUGUGUGGUGCAUCGCUCUUAAGACCGGUUGAUUGACACCUCGCAUCAGAUGGUGGGAUUUCAUCCCGGGGUCGGCUAAACAGGCGAAACAUGUGCUGCGCGAACCUGAGGACAAUCACAUUGGGAUUCUGUAUACGCGACUGAAUGACUUGCUCUGCAGAAUUGCGCCGAUCACUGCUAUCGAAAGUACUACAAGUUGCUGAAGAAAAUAAUUCCAGGAAGGCAAUUUGGCCUUGCGAUUUUCCUAGUAUUUACGAGCGGCAAGAGCGAAGUACGCAUUUGAGAGAUUUAGGUCUUAUGUCCAAUAAUUGGCUGCGCGCUUGUAUUGUUCGAGCCAAUCAUCGACGUCCUCGAACCCAUCACCGUGUCCGUGGUGACCAAUGCGAAAGACCGGCUGUUGGCCCGGAAGAAGGGCUCCUAUUGGCUAGGGGCCGUCCAGGGAGAUUACCUCAGAGCGGAGACUGUAGCGGUGUACAAGAGUAUCAACAGGAGGAGGUAGUCGGGACUGCAAGUACCGCUCCGCAGCGGAGUCCCGAGCAUCAGGCAGUGAAUCCCAACACCUCCACCAGUGCCGUAAUGCCAUAAAACAGGAGACCGGGUCACGGUGCUACAACGACCAACUUUAUAUUUUUUGAGCUGACGUGCCAACUUCGUCUUGUUCGGAAUAACGGUGGGUGCUGCCUAUGUUCCUUGCUUCGUUAUCCGCGACAGUCUAGCUUCAGGAUGGAAAAAUAUGAGGAUCCUUGGAGUAGACGGUGUUCUUCAAAUAACGCAGUUUUAUCUCACGACAAACUCUAAACGUGUGUUAUAUAUUUGACGCGUUUUUCCAGGCAGUACCAGUACAAGAAUUCACAACCAAAACAAAAAUCAAUUACUACCGACAGUGAAUAAGUUUUUCAAUGAAAGCAGUCGCAUUAUUACUUGUUCAACGUAAAAAGCAUGCAGUGAAACUGUGUCUUCGCACCUCGCAGGCGCCGAGCUCGAUGAAGUCCGUGCUGCAGGCUGCCUGGCUGCUUACCGUGGCCGUGGGUAAUCUCAUAGUGGUCAUCAUCGCAGAGGCGAGAUUCUUCAGUGUGGCGUCGUCGGAAUCAUUCAUGUACAGUGGGCUGAUGACCUUGGACAUGGUGGUGUUCGGCGUGAUGGCCUGCUUCUACAAGUACAUCAAGCCGGGUGCCCGGGAUGAGUACGAGAAGCCUCCGCCGAUUUCGGAAGGCGACACCAAGAUGUAAUUGUGUGAAUGAUGUGAAUAAAUUGCUCACUCGUU